ensembl:snoRNA SNORA70 Small nucleolar RNA SNORA70
UUGUACAUGUGCAGUGGCUGCAAACAGCAGCUUUCGUGGUAGUGUGUGCAGCCUGUUUCUUGUAUAGGUUGCUCUAAGGGACCUUGGAGACAGGC